GACGAACGCUGGCGGCGUGCUUAACACAUGCAAGUCGAACGGAAAGGCCCUGCUUUUGUGGGGUGCUCGAGUGGCGAACGGGUGAGUAACACGUGAGUAACCUGCCCUUGACUUUGGGAUAACUUCAGGAAACUGGGGCUAAUACCGGAUAGGAGCUCCUGCUGCAUGGUGGGGGUUGGAAAGUUUCGGCGGUUGGGGAUGGACUCGCGGCUUAUCAGCUUGUUGGUGGGGUAGUGGCUUACCAAGGCUUUGACGGGUAGCCGGCCUGAGAGGGUGACCGGCCACAUUGGGACUAAGAUACGGCCCAGACUCCUACGGGGGGCAGCAGUGGGGAAUAUUGCACAAUGGGCGGAAGCCUGAUGCAGCAACGCCGCGUGCGGGAUGACGGCCUGCGGGUUGUAAACCGCUUUCGCCUGUGACGAAGCGUGAGUGACGGUAAUGGGUAAAGAAGCACCGGCUAACUACGUG
rnacentral:rRNA from 1 species